rnacentral:misc_RNA from 1 species
AAGGAUCAUUAUCGAAUAAACAUUUGAUAGGCUGUUGCUGGCCCUUCUAGGGUAGUGUGCACGCUUGUCAUUUAUUUUUCCACCUGUGCACCCUUUUUGUAGACCUUGUCUCUCUAGGUUCUAUGUUACUCACAUACUCCUACGAAUGUAAUAGAAUGUUGAUCUGGGUCUUUGAUGCCCAUAAAGUUAUAUACAACUUUCAGCAAUGGAUCUCUUGGCUCUC